rnacentral:lncRNA from 1 species
AAAUGGCGCCCGACCCCAGUAGCACAAGCACGCGUGGGCGUUGGUGGUUUGGGUCUGCCCCAGUGUGCUUGCCUUGGGGUAGCUGCACCUACUGGGGGGUUUGGCCACCAAAACGCUUCGUGGGACCUCCGCAGCCAAGGCCAUGGGGUGAAGCUGCUUCCUUUACAAUCCCCGUGAGGUCUUGGGCCGUUUCCUAUAAAGCGUGCUGGCCCCGUUUCUGAACCACCAGAAAGGGAGUUGUUACUGCGUCCUGCCAGAGAGAAGGAAUGCGUUUCCUCGCCCCCUUACGCUGUGUUCUGGAUUGUUGUCACCGUGGUAGUGUUUGUGGAUUUGGGUUGUUGUUGUUUUUAAGUAAUCCAAACAGUGCUUCAGCGUGUGAGACCGGAUAUUUACCACCUUGGGAUAGACUUGGACAAAACUGAUGACUGUACGGAUGGAAAUGAGAGGAAAGCCACAAGAUUUCCCAGGAUAAUACAGUGCCUCAUUGAGGAACUGAAGAGAAUGCACUGAAAACAAAGGGUGCUGGAGAGAUUCGGGAUGUAAAAAGCAGGCUGAAGAUUUAUAGCUCAGCUGGGACCACGCUUUGCCUCUGGGUUAGAAGGUUGCGUGCUGGAGCUUGGGUAGCCCUUUGGCACGUCCCCUGUGCACAAUCCCCCUUGUAGACGAGCGCAAGUUGCGUGUCCUAAAGUGCUGCUUUUGGUAGUGUCUCUAGCUCGCUGCCUUGGGAAAUCUUUUAGGACAUUUUGUCUAUAGAGGGAACCACGUGAUACUCACUGUUCUCCAAAACCAGGAAGGGCAUUUAGAUCCUUUGUCAAGUGCUUAUGGUGUGGUUGUCUUUCUCCCGUGUCUGUCAUAUUGAUGUGUUAGAAAUUUUCAUUUUGACAAGGAGACGAUAAAGAAGACCAUGUCAACUGCAAGGCUGUGGUUUUUAGAGGUGCUCUAAAUUCAGUAGAAGCUUUGCGACUGAAUUAUUUUGAAUAUCAGACAUAAUAACCAAUUUAUACAGACUGUAAAUAAACAUCAGUUGUGCUGGGUGCUCUGGGAACGC